AUGUGCCGCUCCUGCACUGCGCUUCCUCCGCGCGGUCCGCCGCCCACCUGACGACCGCUCGCUACGGUCUGGUAGCC
rnacentral:sRNA from 1 species